GCCGUGACCUCCUUGUUAACAGGUCGAUGCUCAACCACUGAGCCGCACCGGCCGGGCCUAGGAUAUAAAAUCCCUGUCAUCGAGAAUCUGGGUGCGACCUUAGACCAGUUCGAUGCCACUGAUUUUUCUGACAAUGAAAUCCGGAAACUGGACGGCUUCCCUCGCUGAGGAGACUGAAGACCCUCCUGGUGAACAACAACCGGAUAUGGUCGAUGCUCAACCACUGAGCCUCACUGGCCGGGCUGGGGUUCCUCCAUUUCU